rnacentral:rRNA from 1 species
AACGACUCUCGGCAACGGAUAUCUCGGCUCUCGCAUCGAUGAAGAACGUAGCGAAAUGCGAUACUUGGUGUGAAUUGCAGAAUCCUGUGAACCAUCAACUCUUUGAACGCAAGUUGCGCCCGAAGCCUUCCGGCCGAGGGCACGUCUGCCUGGGCGUCACGC